UGCCCUAGUAACGGCGAGUGAAGCGGCAACAGCUCAAAUUUGAAAUCUGGCGUCUUCGGCGUCCGAGUUGUAAUUUGCAGAGGGCGCUUUGGCAUUGGCAGCGGUCCAAGUUCCUUGGAACAGGACGUCACAGAGGGUGAGAAUCCCGUACGUGGUCGCUAGCCUUUACCGUGUAAAGCCCCUUCGACGAGUCGAGUUGUUUGGGAAUGCAGCUCUAAAUGGGAGGUAAAUUUCUUCUAAAGCUAAAUACUGGCCAGAGACCGAUAGCGCACAAGUAGAGUGAUCGAAAGAUGAAAAGCACUUUGGAAAGAGAGUUAAAAAGCACGUGAAAUUGUUGAAAGGGAAGCGCUUGCAGCCAGACUUGCCUGUAGUUGCUCAUCCGGGUUUCUACCCGGUGCACUCUUCUAUAGGCAGGCCAGCAUCAGUUUGGGCGGUUGGAUAAAGGUCUCUGUCAUGUACCUCUCUUCGGGGAGAACUUAUAGGGGAGACGACAUGCAACCAGCCUGGACUGAGGUCCGCGCAUCUGCUAGGAUGCUGGCGUAAUGGCUGUAAGCGGCCCGUCUUGAAACACGGACCAAGGAGUCUAACAUCUAUGCGAGUGUUUGGGUGUCAAGCCCGAGCGCGUAAUGAAAGUGAACGGAGGUGGGAACCUUUCGGGGUGCACCAUCGACCGAUCCUGAUGUCUUCGGAUGGAUUUGAGUAAGAGCAUAGCUGUUGGGACCCGAAAGAUGGUGAACUAUGCUUGAAUAGGGUGAAGCCAGAGGAAACUCUGGUGGAGGCUCGCAGCGGUUCUGACGUGCAAAUCGAUCGUCAAAUUUGGGCAUAGGGGCGAAAGACUAAUCGAACUAUCU
rnacentral:rRNA from 1 species